rnacentral:rRNA from 1 species
GAUGAACGCUGGCGGCGUGCCUAAUACAUGCAAGUCGAGCGAAUGGAUUAAGAGCUUGCUCUUAUGAAGUUAGCGGCGGACGGGUGAGUAACACGUGGGUAACCUGCCCAUAAGACUGGGAUAACUCCGGGAAACCGGGGCUAAUACCGGAUAACAUUUUGAACCGCAUGGCUCGAAAUUGAAAGGCGGCUUCGGCUGUCACUUAUGGAUGGACCCGCGUCGCAUUAGCUAGUUGGUGAGGUAACGGCUCACCAAGGCAACGAUGCGUAGCCGACCUGAUAGGGGGAUCGGCCACGCUGGGACUGAGACACGGCCCAGACUCCUACGGGAGGCAGCAGUAGGGAAUCUUCCGCAAUGGACGAAAGUCUGACGGAGCAACGCCGCGUGAGUGAUGAAGGCUUUCGGGUCGUAAAACUCUGUUGUUAGGGAAGAACAAGUGCUAGUUGAAUAAGCUGGCACCUUGACGGUACCUAACCAGAAAGCCACGGCUAACUACGUGCCAGCCGCCGCCGUAA